UCCUCCCAAGAUGAACGUUUCAAGCAUUCACCAACAUUCCAAAUAUUCAUCCGUCCAUCCUCCCACGAUGAACGUUCCAAGCAUUCAUCCUUGAAGCGUUCAAAGAGUUGGUCGCCAGGGGCGAUGUCCAUGGCCAUCCAACCCUCAAAGAGGAUCGGCUUGAACUCGGCACGAGUGGCAUGGACGGGGGGUGGUGAUUUCCCGAUGUCGUCGGUGUCGGGGCGAGUUGGCCGCUGGGGGCGAUGUCCUUGGCCAUCGAGAAGGUGAUGAACCCCUUGCAAAGUUUUGGAUUCCCUCACCCCAACCCACACAAUACACAGAUCUCCGGCGAGUAGUCGAGAUCUCGGUCCACAGAUCACGGCGUGAAAGAUCGGUCUCCUUUCCACCUGCUCCGCUUUACGCAGCUGCAGAGUGUCUCCUCCUAGCUCCAUCGGCAAUCACGGUGAAAAGCAGCGAAUGGGACAAACAUGUCAACAUCCAGCCCCGCUAACACUGUCUCAGUCGACCACAGUCCCGUCUCCGGUGGUUCCAGUGAAUCAACAAUAACAGAAGUCGUCCGCCCAACCGGCAUAAUUCGCUAUAAAUUCCCCGCCCCUCCUUUUCCCUCUAUAACUGUAGCGAAGAAGAGGAAGGAUGGACGGCGGCGGCGUGAGGAGGAGGAGGAGGAGGAGGAGGAGGAGGGCAUGUGCUCGCUGCCGGGUAAUGAAGAAAAAGUGCUGGAAGGACUGCAGGUGGGCACCGUACUUUCCCGCGGGAGAGCACGAACGCUUCACCAUCCUCCACAGGGUCUUUGGCGGUAACAUGAUAAUGGAAAUCCUACAGCAAGUACCGAACGACCGGCGAGCAGAUGCCAUCCAUAGCCUCGUCUAUGAAGCCAACGCCCGAGAAAACGACCCAGUCAAUGGGCGCCGGGGACAACUCGCCCAGAUGAUUGCUGAAGAGGAGCGCCUUCAAGUCCCGCACCAGGCUGAUGGAUGAGAUGUUGCUCGGCGCCCAUACUAAAAUUGUGUUUCUCCGUUUCUCAGUUUCUCCAUUUCUCCAUAUCUCUCUUGUCCGACACGAGAUCCGUUAGAACGUAACUUUUUUUUUCUUUUUUUUUAACAACGUUAGAACGGAACUCGAUAGUUCUAUUUCUAUAGCAGGUUUGUAUUUCAAUAACUAUAAGCAAUAAAAGGGAGAAAUGAAAACUCCUAUCUUGUAGUUUCAAGUUGUGUAUCUUCCUCAAUAGAGAGAUGGAGACUUUCCUUGGGU